UACAGAGGUCUCAAGCGUUGUUCGGAUUCAUUGGGCGUAAAGGGCGCGUAGGCGGCGGGGUAAGUCGGGUGUGAAAUCUCAGAGCUCAACUCUGGAACUGCACUCGAUACUGCUCUGCUUGAGGACUGGAGAGGAGACUGGAAUUUACGGUGUAGCGGUGAAAUGCGUAGAUAUCGUAAGGAAGACCAGUGGCGAAGGCGGGUCUCUGGACAGUUCCUGACGCUGAGGCACGAAGGUCAGGGGAGCAAACGGG
rnacentral:rRNA from 1 species